rnacentral:rRNA from 1 species
GGGUUGUGAGGUUAAGCGACUAAGCGUACACGGUGGAUGCCCUGGCAGUCAGAGGCGAUGAAGGGCGUGCUAAUCUGCGAUAAGCGCCGGUAAGGUGAUAUGAACCGUUAUAACCGGCGAUACCCGAAUGGGGAAACCCAGUGUGACUCGUCACACUAUCAUUAACUGAAUCCAUAGGUUAAUGAGGCGAACCGGGGGAACUGAAACAUCUAAGUACCCCGAGGAAAAGAAAUCAACCGAGAUUCCCCCAGUAGCGGCGAGCGAACGGGGAGGAGCCCAGAGCCUGAAUCAGCAUGUGUGUUAGUGGAAGCGUCUGGAAAGGCGCGCGAUACAGGGUGACAGCCCCGUACACAAAAGCGCAUGUGCUGUGAGCUCGAUGAGUAGGGCGGGACACGUGGUAUCCUGUCUGAAUAUGGGGGGACCAUCCUCCAAGGCUAAAUACUCCUGACUGACCGAUAGUGAACCAGUACCGUGAGGGAAAGGCGAAAAGAACCCCGGCGAGGGGAGUGAAAAAGAACCUGAAACCGUGUACGUACAAGCAGUGGGAGCACAGGUUUACCUGUGUGACUGCGUACCUUUUGUAUAAUGGGUCAGCGACUUAUAUUCUGUAGCAAGGUUAACCGUAUAGGGGAGCCGGAGGGAAACCGAGUCUUAACCGGGCGUUAAGUUGCAGGGUAUAGACCCGAAACCCGGUGAUCUAGCCAUGGGCAGGUUGAAGGUUGGGUAACACUAACUGGAGGACCGAACCGACUAAUGUUGAAAAAUUAGCGGAUGACCUGUGGCUGGGGGUGAAAGGCCAAUCAAACCGGGAGAUAGCUGGUUCUCCCCGAAAGCUAUUUAGGUAGCGCCUCGUGAAUUCAUCUCCGGGGGUAGAGCACUGUUUCGGCUAGGGGGCCAUCCCGGCUUACCAACCCGAUGCAAACUGCGAAUACCGGAGAAUGUUAUCACGGGAGACACACGGCGGGUGCUAACGUCCGUCGUGAAGAGGGAAACAACCCAGACCGCCAGCUAAGGUCCCAAAGUCAUGGUUAAGUGGGAAACGAUGUGGGAAGGCCCAGACAGCCAGGAUGUUGGCUUAGAAGCAGCCAUCAUUUAAAGAAAGCGUAAUAGCUCACUGGUCGAGUCGGCCUGCGCGGAAGAUGUAACGGGGCUAAACCAUGCACCGAAGCUGCGGCAGCGACGCUGAUGCGUUGUUGGGUAGGGGAGCGUUCUGUAAGCCUGUGAAGGUGUGUCGUGAGGCAUGCUGGAGGUAUCAGAAGUGCGAAUGCUGACAUAAGUAACGAUAAAGCGGGUGAAAAGCCCGCUCGCCGGAAGACCAAGGGUUCCUGUCCAACGUUAAUCGGGGCAGGGUGAGUCGACCCCUAAGGCGAGGCCGAAAGGCGUAGUCGAUGGGAAACGGGUUAAUAUUCCCGUACUUGGUGUUACUGCGAAGGGGGGACGGAGAAGGCUAUGUUGGCCGGGCGACGGUUGUCCCGGUUUAAGCGUGUAGGUGUGUGUUCCAGGUAAAUCCGGUUCACUUUAACACUGAGGCGUGACGACGAGGCACUACGGUGCUGAAGCAACAAAUGCCCUGCUUCCAGGAAAAGCCUCUAAGCAUCAGGUAACAUCAAAUCGUACCCCAAACCGACACAGGUGGUCAGGUAGAGAAUACCAAGGCGCUUGAGAGAACUCGGGUGAAGGAACUAGGCAAAAUGGUGCCGUAACUUCGGGAGAAGGCACGCUGACACGUAGGUGAAGUGAUUUACUCACGGAGCUGAAGUCAGUCGAAGAUACCAGCUGGCUGCAACUGUUUAUUAAAAACACAGCACUGUGCAAACACGAAAGUGGACGUAUACGGUGUGACGCCUGCCCGGUGCCGGAAGGUUAAUUGAUGGGGUCAGCGCAAGCGAAGCUCCUGAUCGAAGCCCCGGUAAACGGCGGCCGUAACUAUAACGGUCCUAAGGUAGCGAAAUUCCUUGUCGGGUAAGUUCCGACCUGCACGAAUGGCGUAAUGAUGGCCAGGCUGUCUCCACCCGAGACUCAGUGAAAUUGAACUCGCUGUGAAGAUGCAGUGUACCCGCGGCAAGACGGAAAGACCCCGUGAACCUUUACUAUAGCUUGACACUGAACAUUGAGCCUUGAUGUGUAGGAUAGGUGGGAGGCUUUGAAGUGUGGACGCCAGUCUGCAUGGAGCCGACCUUGAAAUACCACCCUUUAAUGUUUGAUGUUCUAACGUGGACCCGUAAUCCGGGUUGCGGACAGUGUCUGGUGGGUAGUUUGACUGGGGCGGUCUCCUCCUAAAGAGUAACGGAGGAGCACGAAGGUUGGCUAAUCCUGGUCGGACAUCAGGAGGUUAGUGCAAUGGCAUAAGCCAGCUUGACUGCGAGCGUGACGGCGCGAGCAGGUGCGAAAGCAGGUCAUAGUGAUCCGGUGGUUCUGAAUGGAAGGGCCAUCGCUCAACGGAUAAAAGGUACUCCGGGGAUAACAGGCUGAUACCGCCCAAGAGUUCAUAUCGACGGCGGUGUUUGGCACCUCGAUGUCGGCUCAUCACAUCCUGGGGCUGAAGUAGGUCCCAAGGGUAUGGCUGUUCGCCAUUUAAAGUGGUACGCGAGCUGGGUUUAGAACGUCGUGAGACAGUUCGGUCCCUAUCUGCCGUGGGCGCUGGAGAACUGAGGGGGGCUGCUCCUAGUACGAGAGGACCGGAGUGGACGCAUCACUGGUGUUCGGGUUGUCAUGCCAAUGGCACUGCCCGGUAGCUAAAUGCGGAAGAGAUAAGUGCUGAAAGCAUCUAAGCACGAAACUUGCCCCGAGAUGAGUUCUCCCUGAGACUUAGAGUCUCCUGAAGGAACGUUGAAGACGACGACGUUGAUAGGCCGGGUGUGUAAGCGCAGCGAUGCGUUGAGCUAACCGGUACUAAUGAACCGUGAGGCUUAACCUUACAACGCCGAAG